UACCGAGGUCCCAAGCGUUGUUCGGAUUUAUUGGGCGUAAAGGGCUCGUAGGUGGCCAACUAAGUCAGACGUGAAAUCCCUCGGCUUAACCGGGGAACUGCGUCUGAUACUGGAUGGCUUGAGUUCGGGAGAGGGAUGCGGAAUUCCAGGUGUAGCGGUGAAAUGCGCAGAUAUCAGGAGGAACACCCGUGGCGAAAGCGGCUCUCUGGGACGGUACUGACGCUGAGACGCGAAAGCGUGGGGAGCAAACAGG
rnacentral:rRNA from 1 species